rnacentral:SRP_RNA from 1 species
GCCAGGUGUGGUGGUGCACACCUGUAGUCUCAGCUCCUUGAGAGGCUGAGGCAUGAGGAUUGCUUGAGCCCAGGAGUCUGAGGCUGCAGUGAGCCAUGAUCACACUACUGCACUCUAGCCUGGGCAUAGAGUAAGACCCUGUCUCUA